rnacentral:rRNA from 1 species
UGGGGAAUCUUGGGCAAUGGGCGCAAGCCUGACCCAGCCACGCCGCGUGGAGGAAGACACCCCUAUGGGGCGUAAACUCCUUUUAUAUGGGAAGAAUGUCCCGAUCAUCGGGAAGUGACGGUACCAUACGAAUAAGCACCGGCUAACUCCGUGCCAGCAGCCGCGGUAAUACGGAGGGUGCAAGCGUUGUCCGGAUUCACUGGGUGUAAAGGGUGUGUAGGCGGGGCAGUAAGUCAGAGGUGAAAGCCCACGGCCCAACCGUGGAAUUGCCUUUGAUACUGCUGUUCUUGAGUCUCGGAGAGGUCGCCGGAAUUCGUGGUGUAGCGGUGAAAUGCGUAGAUAUCACGAGGAACACCAGAGGCGUAGGCGGGCGACUGGACGAGUACUGACGCUGAGGCACGAAAGCGUGGGGAGCAAACAGGAUUAGAUACCCCCGUAGUCC